rnacentral:rRNA from 1 species
AGAACGAACGCUGGCGGCAGGCUUAACACAUGCAAGUCGAACGCCCCGCAAGGGGAGUGGCAGACGGGUGAGUAACGCGUGGGAAUCUACCCAAUUCUACGGAACAACAGUUGGAAACGACUGCUAAUACCGUAUACGCCCUACGGGGGAAAGAUUUAUCGGAAUUGGAUGAGCCCGCGUUGGAUUAGCUAGUUGGCGGGGUAAAGGCCUACAAGGCGACGAUCCAUAGCUGGUCUGAGAGGAUGAUCAGCCACAUUGGGACUGAGACACGGCCCAAACUCCUACGGGAGGCAGCAGUAGGGAUAUGGACAAGUGGGCGCAAGCCUGAUCCAGGCCAUGCCGCGUGAGUGAUGAAGUCGUUAGGAUUAGUAAGCUUCUUUCGACCGGAGAAGAAUAA